AUUGAACGCUGGCGGCAGGCCUAACACAUGCAAGUCGAGCGAGCGGCGGACGGGUGAGUAAUGUAUGGGGACUGCCCGAUAGAGGGGGAUAAACACUUGAAACGGUGGCUAAUAACGCAUACUAUCCGAUAACCCAUAUGGGAUUAGCUAGUAGGUGGGGUAAAGGCUCACCUAGGCGACGAUCUCUAGCUGGUCUGAGAGGAUGAUCAGCCACACUGGGACUGAAGCACGGCCCGGACUCCUACGGAGGCAGCAUGGGGGAAUAUUGCACAAUGGGCGCAAGCCUGAUGCAGCCAUGCCGCGUGUAUGAAGAAGGCCUUAGGGUUGUAAAGUACUUUCAGCGGGGAGGCGUUACCCGCAGAGGAAGCACCGGCUAACUCCGUGCCAGCAGCCGCGGUAAUAC
rnacentral:rRNA from 1 species